CAGCAUGUAGUUUAAAAAAAAUGUUGGUUUUGGGGAUCAACGAUCCUAGUUGGGUUUGCUGA
rnacentral:tRNA from 1 species